rnacentral:rRNA from 1 species
GAUCAUGGCUCAGGAUGAACGCUAGCGACAGGCCUAACACAUGCAAGUCGAGGGGCAGCGAAGAGGUAGCAAUACCUUUGCCGGCGACCGGCGCACGGGUGAGUAACACGUAUGCAAUCCACCUGUAACAGGGGGAUAACCCGGAGAAAAUCCGGACUAAUACCCCAUAAUAUGGGCGCUCCGCAUGGAGAGCCCAUUAAAAGAGAGCAAUUUUGGUUACAGACGAGCAUGCGCU